UACGUAGGGUCCGAGCGUUUGUCCGGAAUUAUUGGGCGUAAAGGGCUCGUAGGCGGUUUUGUUGCGUCGGGAAGUGAAAAACUUACAGCUUAACUGUGAGCGUGCUUCCGAUACGGGCAGACUUGAGGUAUUCAGGGGAGAACGGAAUUCCUGGUGUAGCGGUGAAAUGCGCAGAUAUCAGGAGGAACACCGGUGGCGAAGGCGGUUCUCUGGGAAUAUCCUGACGUGAGGAGCGAAAAGUGUGGGGGAGCGAAACAGG
rnacentral:rRNA from 1 species